UGGAUCACCUCCUAACAGGGAGACAACAAAAUGUUUAAUAUUAUUAUUUUGUCACCUUAGGUCGAUCGGUGUCUCACAUUCUUAAUUUAUUAAGGAUUUUAUUUCCUAAGUUUUUUCUAGGUCACACCCAUUACUUUUCCUGGGCCAUUAGCUCAGGUGGUUAGAGCGCACCCCUGAUAAGGGUGAGGUCCCUGGUUCAAGUCCAGGAUGGCCCAUAUCUCUAUGUUGGGGGUAUAGCUCAGUUGGUAGAGCGCCUGCUUUGCAAGCAGGAUGUCAGCGGUUCGAGUCCGCUUACCUCCACUGAUUACCACCUCUUCCAUAAUUAUUUAAGGAAAUGUUUUGAGUAGUGAUCAAAUUCUGAACGAAUCUAGCUUCCUAAUGAAUUCAUUAAGAUGCUGGACUCAUUGAAUUAUUUUCAUUGUUUUCAGAGAACCUUGACAACUGCAUAGAUUAUUUUUAAAGACAAUAAGCAUCUUUAUGAUGCAGAUUUAUUAUUUGUGCGAAUGCAUUAAUAACAAUUCUAUUAAGCUGAUGCUUCAAUUAUGAAGUUAUUGGUCAAGCUACAAAGGGCUCACGGAGGAUACCUAGGCACACAGAGGCGAUGAAGG
rnacentral:tRNA from 1 species